rnacentral:rRNA from 1 species
ACCGAGGUAAUGCCCUAGCAUAACGGCGAGUGAACAGGCAAGAGCUCAGAUUUGAAAGGCACUUUUGUGCCGUUGUAUUCUGAAGUUAGGGUCCUGAGAAACGAUGCUUAAGUCUUCUGGAAAGGAGCGCCAUGGAGGGUGAUAGCCCCGUCUAGCAUUGACCUCAUAUAGGAUCUUAACAUGGAGUCGAGUUGUUUGGGAAUGCAGCUCAAAUGGGUGGUAUGCUCCAUCUAAAGCUAAAUAUCUGCGAGAGACCGAUAGUAAACAAGUACUGUGAGGGAAAGAUGAAAAGAACUUUGAAAAGAGAGUGAAAAAGUACGUGAAAUUGUUGAAAUGGAAGGGUAGGCCGCUAACCAUGUAGAGCCGUGUUUGGGGGGAAGAUAAAUGCUGUAGAAUGUAGCUCCUCGGAGUAUUAUAGAUGCAGUUCAUAUUCCCACCCGAGCGCGAGGAUCUCAGGUUCUACUAAAUGGUGGUCUACCACCCGUCUUGAAC